UCUCCGUUGGUGAACCAGCGGAGGGAUCAUUACAGGACUCGCAAGACUCCUUCACCCUGUGAACCUCACUACAAGCACGUUGCUUCGGCGGGUGUCCCGGCGGGGGUUUUCCCUCGCCGGGGCGCACCGCCCGCCGGCAGCCUACUAUACUCUGUCUUUUUGCGUUGGCAUCGAGAGAAGAAACAAACAAGUUAAAACUUUCAACAGCGGAUCUCUUGGUUCUG
rnacentral:misc_RNA from 1 species